rnacentral:rRNA from 1 species
GACUGGGAUAACUUCGGGAAACCGGAGCUAAUACCGGAUAAUAUUUCGAACCGCAUGGUUCGAUAGUGAAAGAUGGUUUUGCUAUCACUUAUAGAUGGACCCGCGCCGUAUUAGCUAGUUGGUAAGGUAACGGCUUACCAAGGCGACGAUACGUAGCCGACCUGAGAGGGUGAUCGGCCACACUGGGAACUGAGACACGGUCCAGACUCCUACGGGAGGCAGCAGGG